rnacentral:rRNA from 1 species
UGACGUCAAAUCAUCAUGCCCCUUAUGUUCUGGGCUACACACGUGCUACAAUGGCCGGUACAGACGGGCGCAAAGCCGCGAGGUGGAGCAAAUCCUAAAAAGCCGGUACUCAGUUCGGAUUGCAGGCUGCAAUUCGCCUGCAUGAAGUCGGAAUCGCUAGUAAUCGCAGGUCAGCAUACUGCGGUGAAUACGUUCCCGGGCCUU